rnacentral:rRNA from 1 species
CGAAGCACUUAAGUUUGAUUCUUCGGAUGAAGACUUUUGUGACUGAGUGGCGGACGGGUGAGUAACGCGUGGGUAACCUGCCUCAUACAGGGGGAUAACAGUUAGAAAUGACUGCUAAUACCGCAUAAGACCACAGCACCGCAUGGUGCAGGGGUAAAAACUCCGGUGGUAUGAGAUGGACCCGCGUCUGAUUAGCUGGUUGGUGGGGUAACGGCCUACCAAGGCGACGAUCAGUAGCCGACCUGAGAGGGUGACCGGCCACAUUGGGACUGAGACACGGCCCAAACUCCUACGGGAGGCAGCAGUGGGGAAUAUUGCACAAUGGGGGAAACCCUGAUGCAGCGACGCCGCGUGAAGGAUGAAGUAUUUCGGUAUGUAAACUUCUAUCAGCAGGGAAGAAAAUGACGGUACCUGACUAAGAAGCCCCGGCUAACUACGUGCCAGCAGCCGCGGUAAUACGUAGGGGGCAAGCGUUAUCCGGAUUUACUGGGUGUAAAGGGAGCGUAGACGGUAUGGCAAGUCUGAUGUGAAAGGCCAGGGCUCAACCCUGGGACUGCAUUGGAAACUGUCGAACUAGAGUGUCGGAGAGGCAAGUGGAAUUCCUGGUGUAGCGGUGAAAUGCGUAGAUAUUAGGAGGAACACCAGUGGCGAAGGCGGCUUGCUGGACGAUGACUGACGUUGAGGCUCGAAAGCGUGGGGAGCAAACAGGAUUAG